CCCUUAGAUGUUCUGGGCUGCACGCGCGCUACACUGACGAUGGCAACGAGUUUUUCCUUCGCCGAAAGGUGUGGGUAAUCUUUUGAAACAUCGUCGUGCUGGGGAUAGAUCAUUGCAAUUUUUGAUCUUGAACGAGGAAUUCCUAGUAAGCGCGAGUCAUCAGCUCGCGUUGAUUACGUCCCUGCCCUUUGUACACACCGCCCGUCGCUACUACCGAUUGAAUGGUUUAGUGAGGACUCCUGAUUGGCGCCGCCGCCCCGGCAACGGAGCAGCGGACUGCCGAAAAGUUGUUCAAACUUGAUCAUUUAGAGGAAGUAAAAGUCGUAACA
rnacentral:rRNA from 1 species